AAAUAUAUAGUAUAAUAAAUAAAUUACAUUUAAUUUCCAAUUAAAAAAUUUAAAUUAAAUUUUAAUAUAUUUA
rnacentral:tRNA from 1 species